CUCGUAGGCGGUUCAGUAAGUCGGGUGUGAAAACUUUGGGCUUAACCCAAAGCGUGCAUCCGAUACUGCUGUGACUUGAGUUCGGUAGGGGAGUGGGGAAUUCCUAGUGUAGCGGUGAAAUGCGCAGAUAUUAGGAGGAACACCGGUGGCGAAGGCGCCACUCUGGGCCGAAACUGACGCUGAGGAGCGAAAGCAUGGGUAAGCAAACA
rnacentral:rRNA from 1 species